UUAGUCAACGGUCCGUAACUAGCUACCAAUUCCCUUAAAAGUGGAUAACCCCCCAACCCCUAUUCAAAUUCACAGAAACCCCCCUCUUGUCUCUCUAAAUCGCCACCGCCUGCCACCGGCAGGAAUCGCCUCACGAUGGUGGCAUUCUUGAAAUCCGGCCAAAUUCAUACGCUACACUCAUCACCUCACCCUCAUUGUUAAUCCUCCACCAAUUCUUCCCAAAAUCUUACCAAAUUCUUUCAACUGGAAAUCGAAAAAGAAGAGAAAACCCUAGUUUUCCCUUGUUCGAUUUCUUUGAAGUUUCAAGAUUCGAUUCGACCAAAACCUACGCUAGUCGAUUCUUCUCACUGAGAACAAUUGCUUAGCAUUAUUUUUGGUUCAUUUCAAAGAAGAUUUGGAUUUGGCAAGCCAACUCGAUUUGUCGAAGGGAUUUUACAAGCAUUCGUUAGUUGAUUUCUGUUCCCUCAUGUAAGUUAAUUCCAGUCAUGAGAUCAUUUGAACAAGUUCAGUUAGUUUUUUUAAUUAAUUAGUUUGUCUUGAUUAAUGUUUCUGUUUUUUUCUUCUUUCGAAAUUGCAUUUUUUGGGUUUUGUUUGGUCUGGGACCUACCUAGCAUGCAGACAUGCCCGUUAGCACAAAGGCCCAAGGAAAUUUUAGGGUUCAUUUGUUUAGAGGGUAAAAAUUCCAGCUUUGGUUGAAAGUAAAUGGCGUGUGUUUUAAGGGUAUUUAGGGGAACUGAAUAGAAAAAAUAUUGGCUAACUAUCUAGGAAGAUGCUAGCAAGGUGGGAAUUGAAUGAAUUACUAAAUGGGUUCAAAUAUUAGGGUCUGAAAUGAAAAGGAGAAAAUUGGGAAAAGGGUAAUAGUAAUAGUUUAAAAUUAAUUCUGUUGUCCUAAAGCUUGCUAUAAGAGGUUCAUUCUCCUAAUUUAUAGGUAAGGGAUGAAGACUUCUUUCUGAAAAUAUUGGUGCUCGUCUUCAACCUUUCUACUCUUUUCUUCUUCAGAAAGUUUAAGAGGAAUUCUCCUUUUGAUUCUUGUGAGUUAUGAGUCAAGAAAAUGACUUAAUCUGAAGCUAGCACUGGUUAUUGUUGCUGCAUUUUUUUGUUGCUAGUUUGACUGUUUCCUAUUUGUCCCUUGUCGAAUUCAAAGAUUUAUUCCUUUGCUUUGUUUGUUUGUAUCCAGGUAUGUUGGUUGAACAUCUCUUGGCUAUUAAAUUAUGAAUAUGAAGCUUUGGAAUAGCUGCCUCUUCAUUCUAAAAUGGCACAUAGAAUAUGUAGAUUUAUUUAUAUUUGCUGAUUAGUUCUUGUUGUCCUUACUUUGUCGUCUAUGUUCCCUUUUAGCUAGCUAGAAUCUAGUUGUGAAUGUAUGUAGUAAUUGUCCCAAUAUGAUUAAAUGUUUUAAGGAUUUGUUUUGUUAAAAAACUUUGUUGGAUUAUAGGAUUGUUAAAAGGUGAUGGCCAAAUAUGUACUGCAUGUUGAUGUUCUAGUGAAUUACAUUGUGUACGUGAGUUUUAUUUUCUCAAAGAUAUGAUGCAAAGUUGCUGUAUAAAUUAAUGUCUUGUCAAGCAUGAGUAUCAUGUUUCUAUUUGGUUUUACUUUAGUUAUCAUGGUGUCAAAUUGCUAGGACUUAUACAGUGUGAUGCCAAAAUUGCUUAAAUAGAUGUCAAUCAAAUUCGAAUUGGUUUGAAUAAGAGUUUAGAGAUUCAUGUAAUAGUUAACGUUAUUUUUUACUAUGUGAUAAUACUGCCUAUUAAUUAGCAUUUGUAAUAUGUGGUUAAGCACCUUGAUUUCCAGAAUUUGUGUAAAGU
rnacentral:lncRNA from 1 species